GCCUCAUCUGCAACAGAUACUGAUAAGAAUCAUUCACUCCACCAAUUUCCUGCCAACUUCAUUAUCUGCAUAUAUCCUCUCCUCCUCUGCACCAGACCCGGUUACCUGAGGGAGACUUCAGAUUGUUCUGCUGACACAAGUGGUAAUCAGAUGCUCUUCUUCUGUGUAUCAUAGAUUUCUUGAAUUCUUAAAUUUCUUGUUGCUGUCCCUCCCUUAAAGAAAUCUGUUUUCUUUGUCAA